rnacentral:lncRNA from 1 species
CUAACCCAAAAGAUGAUUGUGGCCAAGUUUGGAUUAAUUUGGCCUAGUAGUUUCAGAGGAGAAGAUUUUUGUAAAAUAUUACUAAGAUUUACGAAAAAUGGUUAAAAAUUGACUAUAAAGGGCAAUAACUCUUAAAGGGGUCAACUGACCAUUUCAGUCAUGUUGACUUAUUUGUAAAUCUUACUUUGCUGAACAUUAUUGCUGUUUACUGUUUAUCUCUAUCUAUAAUAAUAUUCAAGAUAAUAACCAAAAAC